GGGAUCAAAAUAAUGAAGCCUUCCAGUAAACACACCAUUCAGCAAAUUCCCAGGUGCUCAGCACAAAGGAAGAAGUGGCAGGCAGUCUCAUUCUUCUGGAUCUAGGAGACAACAGAGCUCCUUGGAACUCAACAGCCUUUUGGGAGCAUCUCCUGGAAGAGCGAAUGAUCAGCUUCUCCACAGUGGAACGAGCAAUAGCAUAUAAAGGUGAUAAUGUGCACCAGUAAAAAAUAGCAGCAAGAGGCCCACCUACAGCUGCCCUAAAUACUCUGAGAUUGAAGAACUCUCUCUUGGGGUCUAGAUCAGGACCUCUUUCUAGUAACAUCUUCCUGGUGAGCACUGAAGGGAUGAUACUGAGGAGAC
rnacentral:lncRNA from 1 species